rnacentral:tRNA from 1 species
GGGAUUGUAGUGUAGCGGUUGCACACCGGCCUUUUAAGCCGAACGGCGGUGAGUUCGAAUCUCCCCGGUCCCACCA